CUUUUGCAGACAGAUGCCCUUGGGGAAUAUGUCACAGAGGUCUCUCACAAUGACUGGUCACUGCUUUUAGGAGUUGUUGCUGUGCUGAUUCAGGGACUCCCUGGACAAAGUAAUUAUUACUCUCAGAAGUAUCAUCUUGCUGCUUCAGAUGUGUUGCUUUUAGGCUGAUUUGUGGCUGGGACUGACCCUUCCAACAGCAACUGAACAUUAACAGCUGAAGGCUUAACAAAACCAGUGGAAGUUGUCAUGAUGUGAGAGGCAGAAGAGUUGCCAAACGUCUUGGAAACACAGACAGCUACUUCUGGGAAAGUGGAUAGCUAAGGGCUAACAGGAAGGCCUCUUAAAACUCUUGUACUUGAGAUGCUGUGUCUCAGGACUUUUGAAGAAAAUGCACCAGGACCUCACCUGCAUGGCUUUUAUACCUCAAUCAUGGAUGCAAGGAAUACAGACAGAGAAAUAAAACCCAAAAAGCAGCUAUGUGCCUGACCCUCAUUGAAUAUUGGUGAAACUCCCUCAUAGAGGGCUGUCAGGUAAUGAGAGGAUAUGAACCUUCCUGGCUGAGGUGGAUCAAGAGAGGGAGAAGACUUUUGCUUUUUAUGUGGAUCCCUGCCUUCAUGUCCUGCUGGGGUGUAGCAAUCUGACCUGUAUCCCAACCAGGUGACACUCCCAGGAGACAUGAGGAUCCAGAUGCUCCCUCCCACAAACCUUUCCUUACCUAGUGGCUGGUGGUGCCCCAGGAAGAGUGUGGAGGAUGCCUUUAUUGGGAAUGGGGUUGUGAGUGUCCAAGAGUGACACAGUCCCUGCAGUAUCUGAGCCUGGAUGAGCUUCCCCUCAGCCAAUGCUCCAGCUGGAUGACUCGGUGGUGCAGUCAUGCAGUGGCAGCUGUCCAACCCUGCAAAAACCACAGAGCAACAGAAACUUUAGACAGAAGCUGAUGGAUAGCACUUGAGGAGGGGUUGCAAGAGGCCCAAAGUAGUCUGGUUAGACCAUCUUUCCAAGGAUAACUGGGACAAUACCCUGGCCCAGAGUGGCUUCGAGCUCCUGGUGUGACUGUUGGCAUUCUGGGGUGGGUGGAUGCUUGUAUGGAGCAGAGGUGCAGGACUGUCUGUGCUGACCUGUAAACCAAAAAUAGCCAUGUUUCUUUUACCUUUAACUAUUUUUAGGUGGAGGAGUGACUUGAAAGUUCCAUUCUCCUCUAAUUUGUGUUGGUUUUCUAUCAAGCCCAGUCAAGAGUCUGGCUUGUUCCUUGGAGUUAAUGUAAUGAGCAGGCCAGGUCUUGCACUGAUCCUCCCUUACUGGGUUUGCAGUCAGAGUGCCAAGGAAAACCAACCCCUUGGGAAGCUGGGCAGCUUUCAUAGCGGUUGGUGAUGCCUCUUGGCUUUUUGUGUCUUCCUUGGAUGCUUCUCUUGUGGCUCUGUCCUGUGGGAGCUGGUAAGGAUUCACGCUGAAAUCCCUGCUGGGGAAAAGGGCUGCUCCCGCCUCCCUCAGGCUUUGUGGGUGCCCAUGUCCCAGGACUGAGCCACGGCCUGCUUGUCACUGCCAGGGCCACCACCUCCUAGCUGUGCUGCCCUGCUUUGGAAGGGAUGAACUGCAGCCCUGAUAGUUCACAGGCACAACAGAACGAGCAGGAGUGGGCCCAGACUGAAAUGGAGGCAGGGGAAAGCUGCAGACCAGUGACCAGAGUAGCUGCAUCCUGUUGUGUCCUGCUCUGACCCUCCAUGGGUUCCAGCUGUCACCAGCUGUCCCUUGCCCUUGCCUUGUGAGCUAUGUGAAACAAAACAAGAUUACAGAAGGGCUGGAACUGCAGAGAGCUGAGAUAAGAGCCCUACCCCUUCCUUGGUGCUGUGAGCACGAUAUGAAGGAUGAAGAGGAACUCAAGAUGCUGUCAAGAUUUCCCUUUGUACAUAUCUGAUGGGUUCAUGCCAGGAUUGGCUCCGUGCCUUUCCAGGGCACAGCCUCUACCACCAGGACAAGGUGGUUCAGCCCUCGGUGCAGCGAUGGAGACGGGAUUAGAAGCUGGGCUGGGGAUGGCUCCCACUGCACUAAGGCAUGGGAUCAGUGAGAAAUACCUUGGGAAGACAUUGUCAGAGGUGUACCAUUUUUCUGGAGAGCUGUGAAGCAGUCAGGUAAAUAUAUUGAUGUAUGGAUGCAGUACAGUUUAUAGUGAAGCUGUAAGAGAUAUCAGUCUGGAAAAUACACAAUUUCCUUUCAACAAAGCACUCACUGUAGAGAGUAAAGUUAAGUGCAGAUGAAAGAGUGCCUGCAAGUCGUGUUAUGUGCACAGGAAAAGGGAAUUCUGAUUACUGGCUCUGGCUCCCCAGGGGCAGGGAUGAUCUCCUAGCACAACUCACAGUAAGUCACAUCUGCAUUUCCAGUAUAAGGCCCCUUUUUAAGGACUCCUAGUUUAGCUAUAAAAAUUCACUUAGCAUGCAUGAAUAGAAACCAAAUUGACAAGAUAGACCAUAACUGCUCUGAAAGGGCCAUUAGUUCCUGUCGUAUGAAAAAUCCACAUUUUUAAAAAGCAAGUAUUAUUCACAUUUGCACAACAGGCUGUAACUGUUCCUUCUAAGUCAUUAUAGACUGUAUGGAAAUAAUAAUUUUCAAAAUCACUAUUGAUACCACAGGCACAGAAACAGCAGGAGACAGAUGCCUUUGCUUGAUAUUAAUCCAGAGCUUUCCAGUGCCACUGAACAGGCUCAGUUUAAACCUUUGAUUUACACCAAUGUAACUGAGAGGAGGAAGACCACAGAAUAAAGAUUUGGUCUGAUAUCUGAGUUUGGUGCAAGGUUUCUGGUGUCAUCAGAGGAAUCCCAGAGGGGCAGUGGCUGUAAGAGGGUAUCAAUGAAAGACCAUCCAUCUCCUGUGCUCAGUGCUGCUGGGCCGGGGAAAUGAAUCUGUAUUUGGUGUGUUCCAUGUUUAAUAAGGGGAAAGCUUGGGGCAGAUAAGAAUGUAGCUUUUUUUUUUUUAAUUGUGAUUUUAAGAAGUACUAGGUCAUGGCUUUUUAGAAAAUUGUUUCUUUUGGUUCAUGAUUAGUGCCUCACUUGACACCAAACAGAGGUUCCACUGAUUUUUAAAAAUUUCUUUUCUGGGUUUUCAUGUGUUGAGGGUUUUCCUUAGACAAAUACUAGUAAGGAACUAACUUGUAUUUCUCUCUCCUCCCUCUGACAUCAUUAGCAUUUGAGUUUCCAGAUUAUAUUUAGGCUGAAUGAAGAGAAAGUGUACAAUCAAAAGCUGGCACUAGAGUUCUGUUGAGCUGUGCUGCCUUAGGGAUGUGGUCACAGAACAAAGGGAAUUUCCAGAGAUUUCAGCAGAGCAAUCCCCACAUACAUCACAAGGACGUGAAUAAGAUGAUUUUCUUCACUCUCAUGGACAUACCAACCUGUACAUUUUUACUCUGUUGAAACAGCUUGCUUGGACCUGUGACUGAGCAAGCAGCUGCCUCUCAGCUGGACUUCUCUUCCCCAUUGCUGGGAUUACCAGGAUAGCAGCAAGACACAUGGAGGACUCCCAGGGAGGCAGGAGACCACCUGGCCGAGGGACUUUGCUGUGCUCACAGCCCUGGGCUCAGCACCUCCGUGGGAGGGGCUGCCUGACAUGUUGCAAAGGUGGGACACCUCUCUCUGGGCAGUCUUUUCUGCUCCCACAGUGACAUGGGCCACUGGAAAGCUGCCACCAUGGAGGGGCUGGCAUAGAGGAGUUUUCCUGCUGGAUCCGGGCGGUGUUUCUCAUGGUUUGUUAUCCUUGACACAGCAGAGUCCUUCAAAGGUAAUGCCACAGUAGUGCAUGAGCUCCUGGGGAGAACCUCUUCCCUCACUCAAUUUAAAAAAAAAAACAGGUUGAUUUAAACACUGAAAUGCAAGGGACUGUCUUCCUUGCAAAGCUCUUACAAUGGGUAUCUGCUGUUAAACCUCAAUCCUUGUCCCACUAGGUCUUGCAACAGAGAGCUUUCUGAAGGGAUUG